GACGAACGCUGGCGGCGUGCUUAACACAUGCGAGUCGAACGGAAAGGCCCUUCGGGGUACUCGAGUGGCGAACGGGUGAGUAACACGUGGGUGAUCUGCCCUGCACUUUGGGAUAAGCCUGGGAAACUGGGUCUGAUACCGAAUAGGACCACGCGCUUCAUGGUGUGUGGUGGAAAGCUUUUGCGGUGUGGGAUGGGCCCGCGGCCUAUCAGCUUGUUGGUGGGGUAAUGGCCUACCAAGGCGACGACGGGUAGCCGGCCUGAGAGGGUGACCGGCCACACUGGGACUGAGAUACGGCCCAGACUCCUACGGGAGGCAGCAGUGGGGAAUAUUGCACAAUGGGCGCAAGCCUGAUGCAGCGACGCCGCGUGAGGGAUGACGGCCUUCGGGUUGUAAACCUCUUUCACCAGGGACGAAGCGUAAGUGACGGUACCUGGAGAAGAAGCACCGGCCAACUACGUG
rnacentral:rRNA from 1 species